CCCAUCCAGGCGGCAAAGGUGGCGCUGUGCUCCCACUAAGCAGGAAGUGUAACGUUGGUUGCUUGCCAACUGCCGGUGGACCAAAGAAGAAGAAGAGGAAGAAGGGUAACGUGUGUGGAAAAAACCGCGGUGGAAGUACAGCUAAUGCAAGACCCCACACACCUGUGAGAGAUGUUUGUGUCCAACCUGAUGCUGCUGCCAUGUCAUGAAGAUGUGGAUUGGCAAGAAGGUCUCGAGCAGGUCUCAUGUUUGCACGGUGGGAUGAGGUAGUAGGUUGAAUAGUUUUAGGGUCGUACCCACACUGGGAGAUAACUACUCAACCUACUGUCUUUCUCAAAGUGACACACGUCCGCCAUCUAUUUCUGUCUGACCAAGUGGAGAGUCGUUGCUGACGCAGUGUGAGGUAGUAGUUUGUAUAGUUGGUGGGUCGUUAUUUGGCCUUCUUUUGGAGAUAACUAUACAAUCUAUUGCCUUCCUUGAGCAGUGACAUUGCAGUCGUCUUUCAUAUAAUGUAUUUACAAUAGGGCUGUCACUAAUAAAUAACAAGCUAGCUCGAACAAGAAAUUAUCACAAUCAUCUAUAUAUACACGAAUUAAUUUCGCAAUUUGAUUUGACUGUAUGUGCUUCUUUAUCCUAACCACGGUUGGCUGAUGGUUAAGGUCAGUGCAAACAUGUGCUUGCUGGCAAAUUCCGCUUCCAAAUAAAUCUAGAUGGCACUUCAGAUAAAACACUUAGCAAGUUUUGAGCAAAUAAAUGACGUACGUUGAAGUAAAUAUUUAAAACAUGUUCCUGUAUGACAUAAAAUUAGAUUUGCAUCCAUAUAUUGGGCUCUUUUUUCAGUUGAUUUAAAUGGUACGAGUGAGUGAUAACCUGUAAUUAAUCAAGAUAAGUCAAAAUUUCAAAGUAAUUAAGAUUAAUCCAGAAUGUGAUUAGUCUGAUUUAGAACAAUCCUUUCACAGCACUAAUGUAUAGUAGUUUUUUUAUUAUUGCUGUCAUACUAUUCAUUUUUAAAAAUCAGAUUAAUCACCGUUUUGAAUUGUGUUUGAUCACAACCACAGUAGCUUGUUGAAAAGACCUCAAUAUUUGACAAUUAUAUUGUCAGAAUGUUAAAUAAUAUAUUUUUAUUUAUGUUUUUUUGCUCCAAACUUGCUAAGGGAGUCUCCUCACUUGUCUUCCAUGUCAUUGACCUGAUCACUGGCUGUUUAAUAACACAACUUUCAGGUAAUAAUUGUAGCAGGAAUUAUGCUCACCUGAAUGUGACCACAUUAUCUUAAACGCUACUAAAAACUACACUUUUCAACAUUCGGUGUGUCUUGAAGCAGUGUAUAACCUGUCAUUGCAAAUAAUGUAUUAAAAUACCACUUUGACCAUUAAUGUUACCCACAUUCUGUCAUGUAUUGACUUUACCUUUAUUAUUAAACUAUACUUUUGUUCAAUGCAUUUAUACAGUGUUAUUUAUUUACUAUUUAAAUAAACAAAACAAUUUGAAGUGUAUUAUGUGUCUGGAUCUUAGUAACAGAUGCAAUAAAUGAAGGCAUUGGGUUACUUUGUCGGUAAUAAACAGAAAUAUUGAGUGGAAACAUCCAACUACAACAUUUGAAGUGUGAUAAUGUCUGUUUAAUGGAACACAUGCAUAUGGAAACAUUUUACUAGUAUUUUGGCUAUUAGUUAUUAGUUGUUAUAUGUUAACUAUGUCAUUUAUUAUUAUCUUUGAGUUAUUAGCUGUCAUUUAAUAGCUAUAAGUUAUUGAUUAGCUGUAAGUUAUUAACUAUAAUAGCUAAUAACUCAUUAAUAAGCUGUCAGUGAUCAGUUAUCUAUCAUUAGCUAUCAGUUAUUAGGUAUUAGUUAUUUUCUGUCAGUUAGCUACUGUCACAUGUGCAUGUACAGUAGAUAACAGUAUUGCCCUGUUAAAGUGUCACAAAAUUAAUGUUGACGGAAGAACUGCUUUACGGCAGACCAAAAACUGACUUGCUCUUGUGUGUUGUUUACCAUAGACAUCUAAGGUUACGCAGCAUCGAGCGCUACUGCCUAUUGGCGCUGACGAGACGCGGGGCCGCCAUCUUGGAGUGGUGAUCCAAUCCACUCAGUGCAAUUUGUUUGGCAGGAGCAAUGAACUGUCAGCGCAUUUAAUUCAUUUUACCUCACUGAAUACCACUGAUUUUCACGCCAUUUUUGGUCAUACGUGUAGCUAUGAUAAUGGACACAUGUUUUGGGGUGUUUCAUUAUUCAUAGUUUGCCUAACACUAAUAGAAUAUUCUUAUAUGCUAUUUAUAAGUGACCAGACGUCCAAGAUCAAAAUUGGGAAUAUAAUCCCAGAGAAGGGGGGAAAAGCGGUCAGCUAAUUUUAAAUUGAAGAAACAAUAUGAUUAGGUUAUAUAUACAUACGUAUAUCCUACAUAAGCAAUGUAUGAAUACAUUAGAUAUCUAUAUAUCUUAGGGACCUAUGGACUGUAUUUCUGUUGCUGCAGCAGCAGAGAGUUUAUUCUGUCUUGACACUUUGUAUUGAUAUUUUGUAUUACAUUUUUCCCUUAAAUGAUAAUGUUUACAGUGAUUAUUUUUUAUGUAUGUCUCUUUGGAUAAAAGCAUCUGCCAAAUACUUAAACAUAAAUAAACACCUGAAAGUCUUUAUACCCGCUAAAACCA